GUUAAUCUAACUCGCCGCUCCGCUCUGCUCCGUUACUUCAGUCAACAGGUUUAAUCAGUUACGCAGAGAUGUGCCCGUAAAGUUGCUGAGUUAAUGUGGUUGCACACGCUUCAGCCUGGGAACUCAACAGUUUUGCCAUCCAUUGAUUCCAGCAGAUCGAUGAAACGGGACACUGUGGUCUUUGGGACUGUGAUCUUCAUCUGUGCCGAUGCAGACCGCUCCACAGAAUGGACACUUUUCCCAGCAGCACUUGCACAGAUGAUCAGUGAUGCUUUCCUCAGACUUCUCGGCUAAUUCCUUCAUCUUACCCAGUCAUGAAACCGCUGAAGUCCUCCUCCUCCGCGAGAAACUUCAACACAUGUUUCUCCAAGUUCAGCCUGUUCCCAUUGAAGGCUGUGACAUUGCACCUCAUCUCUGUAGCCAGAUCAAUGGCAGACUGGUCACAGACAGCC